UUGUAUGGAGUGGUUGUGUAGGGCAAGCAUGAAGUUAGUCCUUUCAUAAGAGUAGGCUAAGGACAUUGAUUGUAAACACCUAGCUUUGACAUGGUACUCAGUGUACUCUCUUGCCUAUUCUUUCCUAGAAAGCAAUUAUUCCUAUUGGGUGGCAAGAUACGACUUUGUGUGAUAACUACGUGAAUAGCUAAUUUGGAAUAGGAAAUUUUCAGUUUCACAAUAUCAGCAAUUUCAAUCUGAA
rnacentral:misc_RNA from 1 species